rnacentral:rRNA from 1 species
AUUCCCGACAAUGGGGGAAACCCUGAUCGAGCGACGCCGCGUGGAGGAUGAAGGUCUUCGGGUUGUCAACCCCUGUCAUUUGGGAACAAGGCGUACCCGGCAACUGUCCGUACGUUGCCAGUACCAGAGCGGGAAGAGACGGCUAACUCUGUGCCAGCAGCCGCGGUAAUACAGAGGUCUCAAGCGUUGUUCGGAUCAU